ACUCCUACGGGAGGCAGCAGUAAGGCAAUAUUGCGCAAUGGGCGAAAGCCUGACGCAGCGACGCCGCGUGGGGGAUGAAGGUCUUCGGAUUGUAAACCCCUUUCGGGAGGGAAGAUGGAGCGAGCAAUCGUUCGGACGGUACCUCCAGAAGCAGCCACGGCCAACUUCGUGCCAGCAGCCGCGGUAAUACGAAGGUGGCAAGCGUUGUUCGGAUUCACUGGGCGUACAGGGUGUGUAGGCGGUUUGGUAAGCCUUCUGUUAAAGCUUCGGGCCCAACCCGGAAAGCGCAGAGGGUACUGCCAGGCUAGAGGGUGGGAG
rnacentral:rRNA from 1 species